GCAACGACGAAGAACCUUACCAGGCCUUGACAUGCAGAGAACUUUCCAGAGAUGGAUUGGUGCCUUCGGGAACUCUGACACAGGUGCUGCAUGGCUGUCGUCAGCUCGUGUCGUGAGAUGUUGGGUUAAGUCCCGUAACGAGCGCAACCCUUGCCUUUAGUUGCCAGCAGUUCGGCUGGGCACUCUAAAGGGACUGCCGGUGUUAAACCGGAGGAAGUGGGGAUGACGUCAAGUCCUCAUGGCCUUUAUGACCAGGGCUACACACGUACUACAAUGGCCGAUACAAAGGGCAGCGACACUGCGAGGUGAAGCCAAUCCCGUAAAAUCGGUCUCAGUCCGGAUUGGAGUCUGCAACUCGACUCCAUGAAGUUGGAAUCGCUAGUAAUCGUGGAUCAGCAUGCCACGGUGAAUACGUUCCCGGGCCUU
rnacentral:rRNA from 1 species